GAUCCUGGCUCAGGACGAACGCUGGCGGCGUGCCUAACACAUGCAAGUCGAACGAAGCACUUCUGAAUGGAGAUUCGUCAAAGUUCAGAUUUGACUUAGUGGCGGACGGGUGAGUAAUGCAUGAGCAACCUGCCCUGCAGUGGGGGACAACAGUUGGAAACGACUGCUAAUACCGCAUGAUGUAUCUUGGAAGGCAUCUUCCGGAUACCAAAGAUUUAUCGCUGUGGGA
rnacentral:rRNA from 1 species